rnacentral:SRP_RNA from 2 species
CCGUGCUAGCUGGGGAGUUAGCGGUGCCCUGUACCUGCAAUCCGCUAUAGCAGGGGUGAUGUUCUGCUUCGGAGUUAUUAUUGCAAAGCAGCCCAAUGUAUGUGGCGUUGACGUUUUGGUCUUGCGCAAUGGAACCUUAUGAACCGUGUCAGGAGGGGAACCUAGCAGCACUAAGUAAGUGCUUUCGUGUGCCGCAAGGUCGCCGGAACCGAGUUAACAGCAUUGGUAACGUUUGUAGUAAUUUCUACAACGCAGGAUGCACGG